GACGAACGCUGGCGGCGUGCUUAACACAUGCAAGUCGAACGGAAAGGCCUGCUUUCCCUUGUGGAUUGCGGGUACUCGAGUGGCGAACGGGUGAGUAACACGUGAGUGAUCUGCCCCCAACUUGGGUAUAAGCCUGGGAAACUGAGUCUAAUUCCCGAUAGGACUGCAGGGUGGUGCCUGUGGUGGAAAACGAUUUUCUAGUGGUUGGGGAUGAGCUCGCGGCCUAUCAGCUUGUUGGUGGGGUAAUGGCCUACCAAGGCGGCGACGGGUAGCCGGCCUGAGAGGGUGGACGGCCACAUUGGGACUGAGAUACGGCCCAGACUCCUACGGGAGGCAGCAGUGGGGAAUAUUGCACAAGGGGCGGAAGCCUGAUGCAGCGACGCCGCGUGGGGGAUGACGGCCUUCGGGUUGUAAACUCCUUUCGACCGCGAGGAAGCCACCUGGUUGGAAGGGUGGUGACGGUAGUGGUAGAAGAAGCACCGGCUAACUACGUG
rnacentral:rRNA from 1 species